rnacentral:rRNA from 1 species
UACAGAGGUCUCAAGCGUUGUUCGGAUUCAUUGGGCGUAAAGGGUGUGUAGGCGGCUUGGCAAGUCGGGUGUGAAAUCCCUCAGCUCAACUGAGGAAGUGCGCCCGAAACUGCUUUGCUUGAGUGCCGGAGAGGAUGGCGGAAUUCCCCAAGUAGAGGUGAAAUUCGUAGAUAUGGGGAGGAACACCGGUGGCGAAGGCGGCCACCUGGACGGUCACUGACGCUGAGACGCGAAAGCGUGGGUAGCAAACAGG